GCCCUGGUGGUAUAGUGGUUAAGUGCUAUGGCUGCUAACCAAAUGGUCGGCAGUUCAAAUCUGCCAGGGUU
rfam:Loxodonta africana unplaced genomic scaffold scaffold_15, whole genome shotgun sequence.